AAGAUGGCGACCGGCGCACGGGUGAGUAACACGUAUCCAACCUGCCGAUAACUCCGGAAUAGCCUUUCGAAAGAAAGAUUAAUACCGGAUGGCAUACGAAUAUCGCAUGAUAUUUUUAUUAAAGAAUUUCGGUUAUCGAUGGGGAUGCGUUCCAUUAGUUUGUUGGCGGGGUAACGGCCCACCAAGACUACGAUGGAUAGAGGUUCUGAGAGGAAGGUCCCCCACAUUGGAACUGAGACACGGUCCAA
rnacentral:rRNA from 1 species